ACGGGAGGCAGCAGUAGGGAAUAUUGGUCAAUGGGGGAAACCCUGAACCAGCGACGCCGCGUGAGUGAAGAAGUAUUUCGGUAUGUAAAGCUCUAUCAGCAGGGACGAUAAUGACGGUACCUGACUAAGAAGCCCCGGCUAACUACGUGCCAGCAGCCGCGGUAAUACGUAGGGGGCAAGCGUUAUCCGGAUUUACUGGGUGUAAAGGGAGCGUAGGUGGCCAUGCAAGUCAGAUGUGAAAACCCGGGGCUCAACCCCGUGACUGCAUUUGAAACUGCGUGGCUGGAGUGCAGGAGAGGUAAGCGGAAUUCCUAGUGGAGCGGUGAAAUGCGUAGAUAUUAGGAGGAACACCAGUGGCGAAAGCGGCUUACUGGACUGAAACUGACACUGAGGCUCGAAAGCGUGGGGAGCAAACAGGAUUAGAUACCCUGGUA
rnacentral:rRNA from 1 species